CAGUCGUGAGGAAGGUGGUAGUGUUAAUAGCACUAUCAUUUGACGUUAGCGACAGAAGAAGCACCGGCUAACUCCGUGCCAGCAGCCGCGGUAAUACGGAGGGUGCGAGCGUUAAUCGGAAUUACUGGGCGUAAAGCGCAUGCAGGUGGUUUGUUAAGUCAGAUGUGAAAGACCCGGGGCGUCAACCUCGGAAUAGCAUUUGAAACUAGGCAAACUAGAGUACUGUAGAGGGGGGUAGGAAUUUCAGGUGUAGCGGUGAAAUAGCGUAGAGAUCUGAAGGAAUACCGGUGGCGAAGGCGGCCCCCUCGGACAGAUACUGACACUCAGAUGCGAAAGCGUGGGGAGCAAACAGGAUUAGAUACCCUGGUAG
rnacentral:rRNA from 1 species